rnacentral:tRNA from 1 species
GGAUUGUGGCUCAGUGGUAGAGUGCUCGCCUAGCAUGCUGGGGCCCUGGGUUCGAUCUUCAGCGCCG